UACGUAGGGGGCAAGCGUUGUCCGGAUUUAUUGGGCGUAAAGCGCUCGCAGGUGGUUCGUUGCGUCGUGCGUGAAAGGCCCCGGCUCAACUGGGGAGGGUCGUGCGAUACGGGCGGACUGGAGGCCAGUAGGGGGAUGCGGAAUUCCGGGUGUAGUGGUGGAAUGCGUAGAGAUCCGGAGGAACACCAGCGGCGAAGGCGGCAUCCUGGACUGGUCCUGACACUCAGGAACGAAAGCGUGGGGAGCGAUCCGG
rnacentral:rRNA from 1 species